GGGGGCGUUUAUGGGAUUCGACGGGGAUUUUUGUCCUGUGAGGAGCGAGCCGAGGGGUUGCGUAUCUCGUUAAAUACGCAAACGCCAAUGUAACUGGCAAACAACAAAAUCUUGCACUAGCUGCCUAAUUGUCAGCUAGGACUCUUCUCUUCAUCGCCUGUGUGAAGUGUUAGAGUCUCAUAACUAAGCAGGCUAGCGGAGGGAGAUGUCACGAUCCCUCUUGCGAAAUCUAGUGGCUGGUCUGUUGAGGGGUUUGUCACUGGACAAUUCGAUGGACGAGAUUUCAAACAGUGACUGCGCUCGGAGAGCCUGAUGGGGUGGGGUCUUCGGACAGCGGUUCGACUCCGCUCGCCUCCACCA
rnacentral:tmRNA from 1 species